UGUGUGUGUGAGUGACAGAGUGUGUGUGUCUGUGAGUGACAGAGCGUCUGUGUGUGUGUCUGUGAGUGACAGUGUGUGUCUGUGAGUGACUGUGCAUCUGUGUGUGUCUGUGAGUGACAGCGUGUGUGUGUGUGUGAGUGUGUGUGUGAGUGCGUCUGUGUGUGUGUCUGUGAGUGAUUGUAUGAGUGUGUCUGCAUGUGAGUGUAUAAGUGUGUCUGUCAGUGUAUGAUGAGUGUGUUUGUCAGUGUAUGAGUGUGUGUCUGUCAAAUCAGUGAGAGUAUGUUUGUCAUUGAGUCUGUGUGUGACUAUCAGUGUGUCUGUCAAUGAGUGUCAAUCAGUGUGGGUCUGUCAGUGUCAAUGAAUGAGUGUGUGACAAAUCAAUGAGUCUGUAUCUGUCAGUGACGUCUGUGUGUUUGUCAUUGAGUGUGUGACUGUCAGUGUGUACAGAGUGUAGUGGAGCAGAGCGCGGUACAGGAGCUUCUGUUUCCUGUACCUGGCCAGACUGACAGGAGGUGCUCAAAGAGAGAGUACUCCCUGUCAGUCCGGCCGGGUACAGAAAACUGAAGCUCCUUUAGGGGAUCUGCUCCGCUCGGCAAUGCAACAAUAGAGGUAGUAGGCACACCAGGAAGGGGAGUGUGACCACUAAAGGGGUGUGGGGUGCACCAAGGGACA
rnacentral:lncRNA from 1 species